rnacentral:rRNA from 1 species
AGAUUAAGUUAUUAAGGGCGCACGGUGGAUGCCUUGGCACUAGAAGCCUACGAAGGACGUUACUAACGACGAUAUGCUUUGGGGAGCUGUAAGUAAGCUUUGAUCCAGAGAUUUCCGAAUGGGGAAACCCAACACGAGUUAUGUCGUGUUAUCGAUAUGUGAAUACAUAGCAUAUCUGAAGGCAGACGCGGGGAACUGAAACAUCUUAGUACCCGCAGGAAGAGAAAGAAAAAUCGAUUCCCUGAGUAGCGGCGAGCGAAACGGGAAGAGCCCAAACCAACGAGCUUGCUUGUUGGGGUUGUAGGACACUCUAUACGGAGUUACAAAAGAACAAAUUAGACGAAUCAUCUGGAAAGAUGAAUCAAAGAAGGUAAUAAUCCUGUAGUCGAAAGUUUGUUCACUCUUGAGUGGAUCCUGAGUACGACGGAACACGAGAAAUUCCGUCGGAAUCCGGGAGGACCAUCUCCCAAGGCUAAAUACUCUCUAGUGACCGAUAGUGAACCAGUACCGUGAGGGAAAGGUGAAAAGUACCCCGGAAGGGGAGUGAAAUAGAACUUGAAACCGUGUGCUUACAAGUAGUCAGAGCCCGUUAAUGGGUGAUGGCGUGCCUUUUGUAGAAUGAACCGGCGAGUUACGAUUUGAUGCAAGGUUAAGCAGUUAAUGUGGAGCCGUAGCGAAAGCGAGUCUGAAUAGGGCGUUGAGUAUUUGGUCGUAGACCCGAAACCAGGUGAUCUACCCAUGACCAGGCUGAAGUUCAGGUAACACUGAAUGGAGGGCCGAACCGACUUACGUUGAAAAGUGAGCGGAUGAGUUGUGGGUAGCGGAGAAAUUCCAAUCGAACCUGGAGAUAGCUGGUUCUCUCCGAAAUAGCUUUAGGGCUAGCCUUAAGUAAUGAUUAUUGGAGGUAGAGCACUGUUUGGACGAGGGGCCCUUAUCGGGUUACCGAAUUCAGACAAACUCCGAAUGCCAAUCAAUUUUAUCUUAGGAGUUAGAACGCGGGUGAUAAGGUCCGUGUUCGAAAGGGAAACAGCCCAGACCACCAGCUAAGGUCCCAAAAUAUAUGUUAAGUGGAAAAGGAUGUGGCGUUGCCCAGACAACUAGUAUGUUGGCUUAGAAGCAGCCAUCAUUUAAAGAGUGCGUAAUAGCUCACUAGUCGAGUGACACUGCGCCGAAAAUGUACCGGGGCUAAACAUAUUACCGAAGCUGUGGAUUGUCCGUAAGGACAGUGGUAGGAGAGCGUUCUAAGGGCGUUGAAGCAUGAUCGCAAGGACAUGUGGAGCGCUUAGAAGUGAGAAUGCCGGUGUGAGUAGCGAAAGACGGGUGAGAAUCCCGUCCACCGAUUGACUAAGGUUUCCAGAGGAAGGCUCGUCCGCUCUGGGUUAGUCGGGUCCUAAGCUGAGGCCGA